GCAGCUAACGCAUUAAGCACUCCGCCUGGGGAGUACGACCGCAAGGUUGAAACUCAAAGGAAUUGACGGGGGCCCGCACAAGCGGUGGAGCAUGUGGUUUAAUUCGAAGCAACGCGAAGAACCUUACCAGGUCUUGACAUCCUUUGACCACUCUAGAGAUAGAGCUUCCCCUUCGGGGGCAAAGUGACAGGUGGUGCAUGGUUGUCGUCAGCUCGUGUCGUGAGAUGUUGGGUUAAGUCCCGCAACGAGCGCAACCCUUAUUGUUAGUUGCCAUCAUUCAGUUGGGCACUCUAGCAAGACUGCCGGUGACAAACCGGAGGAAGGUGGGGAUGACGUCAAAUCAUCAUGCCCCUUAUGACCUGGGCUACACACGUGCUACAAUGGGAAGUACAACGAGUUGCGAAGUCGCGAGGCUAAGCUAAUCUCUUAAAGCUUCUCUCAGUUCGGAUUGCAGGCUGCAACUCGCCUGCAUGAAGCCGGAAUCGCUAGUAAUCGCGGAUCAGCACGCCGCGGUGAAUACGUUCCCGGGCCUUGUACACACCGCCCGUCACACCACGAGAGUUUGUAACACCCGAAGUCGGUGAGGUAACCUUUUUGGAGCCAGC
rnacentral:rRNA from 1 species